UUCUUAUCUGUAAAAUGAAUGCAUUAGGGUUGAUAAGUCUUCCUAUAUCUGGUGUUCUUUGAUUCUACCAUUCCCUGUUUAAGCCAGAGCCUAGGAAUGUAGAUCUGGAGGCUGUUUCUGUUUUAGAUUGUGGACUAGAAAUUAAGCACACACUGCCCCAACUCCCCCAGCUGCCUGAGACUUGAGAAAAAGUGAGACUGUAGCCCUUCGAGUUGGCGUUAGAGCUCUCCGUGGCAUUAACCUGUUGUUGGUCUAACGUGUGGGGCCGGAGGAAACGUGCUCGCAAUCUGUGAACAUGGUUGCUGCUGAACAAACGCGUUUUGCUUUCUUUCUUUUCCUUUUUUUCUUUUUCCCAGGAGUGAGGAGGGGGAGGAAAAAACCGGUCUUUGUUGUGAAGCCACGGUCCCAAACUUGAACCUAGAGGAAUGUUACAGCUCUGAAAAAAAGUUAGGGAGCAGCCUUGCAAUUAAGCACUCAGUCACAACAAGAGGGUAAGAACGUUCAAGGCACUGGAUUGAAGAGACACAAAAGUCAGGAAAUGACCCUUUCGUCGGGAUUUCAGAGGCCGCAGAGGAGAAACAAAGUCCUCUCACAACUUGGGAAACUUCGGACCGUACCAUCCCGAGGGGGCAGGGGUGGGGGAGGCCGGGAGAGGGCAGUGGAAAUUGACAUCUUCGCUCCCAACGAGCCGUGAGUAAACUGAGGAUUUCCCGGCUGAAAGGACUCAGUGUCUGCCUGUCCCCGGCCCAGAAAUGAAAGCGAGUUUCAGCCGAUCCUCAUUGUGGAGCCUGCUGAAAAAGCAGCCCGGGUCGCCCCGGCCAGCCCCGGCGUCCUGAAUCGGAUCCCUGUGCGCGCCAGGCCGGGCCGCGCGCCCGGGUUGCAGGAUGGCGUGCCCAGGCCAGCCCAUCUGCGGCCGCGGGCCGGCGGGGAGGAAGCGUCCCUGGGGAUGAAUGGGGCUUUGUUCGUAGGCAGCCGCGGCUACCCUCUGCAGGCCCGGCCCGCACAACAGAGGCUGUAUGCGACAGGAAUGGAAAUGAGCCUCAGGCCCUGCCCAAGGAGCCCCAUCCCCUUCCCCGCGCAGGGCUGAGGAAUGCUGGCCAGCCGGAAAGGAACCCUCGCGGGGAACGCCGCUCUCGCGCCUCUGAAACCCCAUUGAGAAGAACCCUUUGAUGCAAUUAAAGCGUAUUUCAUUGCAGGCCUGGGAGGAGGGAACGACCGGCAAGCUUUUUUCUGUCUCGGACGUGUGUGUGCACCUUUGUGGGCCGGGUUACUUCGAGAGCAGGCAGGAACUUGAGCUCCCUCUCUCGCAGACGUUCUGUAACAUCAGAAACGCGUACCCAGAAGCAGAUUGGUUUUCACCAGGGGUGGGAUCCAAUUUGGACACCAUCCAGGCUGACCUGCAGGCCGGGGUUCCUACUUUGAAAGGCUCUUUGGUGCGCCUUACACCCACCUUCCCUGCUGUAAAGGUUUAGGCGGAAAAGAAAUUGCGUUUGCAGGAGGAAGUUGUUUCUGAGGUUACCGCUCAGCAUUUUCCAUUUUCUCAGUGGUGGGGUGGGCUGUGUCGCCUAUCGAGAAGUGAUGUCACAGCCAGACCUGCAAAGUGAUGUAACCUGCAAGUGUUGAAGGACGACGAGGGGACAGCUAUUUUGAUACUCGUAUUAUUUUAUAACAUUUCCCUACUUUUUCCAUCGAGACAACUGUGUGACCUCAGAAAAUCCACACAGCCUCUCUGAGCUUAAUAUUUGUGGUAUGUUAAAGUGAAUAUCACAAAGCCAGGGAACAAACGUCGUGAAGUUCUGAGUGCUUGUGGAAUUCUUUCCGAGUUGGAGGUGGACACGUUAUAUACCUGCACACGUGGAAGAUACGUGGGACUGGAACUCCAGUAAACAAAGAGAUCCCAUUGGGGCCUCUGUUUGGUUGCCUUUGUGUCACUUUUUACUAGGGCUAAUUGUCUAAUGUGUCCUUCCACUAGUGUAUGCCUCCUUGAGAACGUGAACCUUUAAACAACAACAGCAACAAAACAACAACAACAAACGAAGACAGAGUCCUGCACGCUCUUCCAGGCUAGAGUGUAGUGUGCAAUCAUCGCAGCCUGCAGUAUGCCGGCCUCAAGCUAUCCUGCCGCCCCACCUUGGCCUCCUGAAGGGCUCCAAUUACAGGAGGGAGACACUGCACCCAGCCAAACCUGUCUUUUUUUCUGUAUCUCCUGUGCCCAGAGCAGUCCCUGGCCCUGAUAAGGGUUCAACAAAUAUGUCUAAUGAAUGAACGAAUACAUUCAGGAGUGUAGGGAUUGAUACUAACUUGCUGGCUGUUUUCUGUUCCUUAUAAAUCUAAAUAAGAAAUAGGGAGAGCAUGGUAGGUCUUUGGGGUCCUCGGGCGAGGCAUAAGUUCAGGAGAAGUUUGAAGGAAAGGGUUGGAAAACAUUUCUGAGAGCAAAAACAUGCUACAAGUGUUUCCUGAAAUGACCCAAAGGAGAGCGCGGCACUCAGGUGGAGGAGUCACUUUUUCCAAACCCAUGCUGUGGACUUCAAGCUCCAGCAUCGUGCACAAAGACAACAGCCUUACAAGGACUGCUUAACCAGCCCCCAUUGUGUCAGAUAAAGAAAUUGAGACAGAAAAUUAGGCAAUUUUCUCAUAAUACGUAAGAAGUGGUGCCAGGAAAGAAAUGGAAACCAGGCUGCUUGAAUCUGGAACUCAGAAUACUGUUUGAGAAGUGUUCUCCAGCUGGUCGUGGGGAAAAAGUCAGAAAUUUGAAGCAAAGGAAGGAUGUGAAUGCCACUGCUGGCUUUGAAGAGGAGAAAGGCCAAUGCAAGGAGCAGAGAUCAGCCUUUAGGACCUGUGACCAACUCCCCACUGAGAGCAAGGAAAGCAGGGACCUCAGUCCUGCCGAUCAUAAGGAACUAAACUCUGCCACCAACUUGAAUGUGCUUUGCAGAUCCUUUGAUUCCAUGGAAGGCAUGCCCAAGUCUAAGGUCCUCCUAACACUCAACUGGUUUGGGAACCAUCGGGCCCAGUGAUCUCUGAUGCUCCUUCCAACUUGUAGGAUGUGAAUUCCUGGGUUUAGUUAUAUAAGAGAAGGGAGAGCAAGAUGGCCAAAUAGAAGCCUCCAGCAAUUAUACCCCCCACAGGAACAACAAAUUAAGCAACACAAACAAGAAAAUCACCUUCAUAAAAUUGAGAAAUCAGCUAGGAAUGACCAAGGCAAAACUUCCAUCUACUUGCAUCAGAAUGGAGACGCAGAUGCAGAUGACGAAUUAAAGGGACUCAAGGAAGGUCACUAUUCUGCCUUGAAUUUGUUUUCAUGGUUCUCCGAGAAGUGUCUAGAGGUGAGAAAGUCAAUUUAACUGAUUAUUUUCUAAAAAUAGAAUAAACAGAAAAUUUUGUUUAAAAAAUAUUUUCUUAGCAUAGUGAAGUACAACAUUUUCUAUAGUUAUCCACAGUACUUUAAGAAAUUUACAAUGUACUGCUAGAACUUUGAGUGAAACUUAGGAAUUUUAUGUGCUUUGGAUGAAAGAUGACAGCAAAAAAUUAUACAAUUUUAGUUCAUUUGCAUUAAAAUAUUCUUACAACAGAGCAUGGAAUCCAAUAAUAAAACCCAGGGAAAAUCAUUCUAAUUUUAGGAGAAAAAUUAACACCUACCUACCCUACAACCUCACAAUUAAAAUCUGGUGGAAUUCUAUAACCUUC